UACGUAGGGGGCAAGCGUUAUCCGGAUUUACUGGGUGUAAAGGGAGCGUAGACGGCGCGGCAAGUCCGAAGUGAAAGGCAGGGGCUUAACCCCUGAACUGCUUUGGAAACUGCCAUGCUAGAGUGCUGGAGAGGUAAGUGGAAUUCCUAGUGUAGCGGUGAAAUGCGUAGAUAUUAGGAGGAACACCAGUGGCGAAGGCGGCUUACUGGACAGUAACUGACGUUGAGGCUCGAAAGCGUGGGGAGCAAACAGG
rnacentral:rRNA from 1 species